CUGAUAUCGUAUCGAUAUCAAAAAGUGCUCCUGUUGAGUGAUUCCCUCUGGUGUCGGAAAAUGUCUCCCCUCCAGAGUGUGUCUACAAGUUUACAAGUUAAUAAAUUUUAUUGAUAAAUUGUUUCCUUUUGUUUGUUUUGUCUAAAUCACAGUUAAAUUUUGUAAUGCUGGUAUUGAAAAUAAAAGAUUGAAAUGAGGAAAAAUUAGGAGGAAGAAGACUUCAUAGACCUCACAUAAAGAAACACUUUGAGUUGAACAUAAUCAUGCAAGAAAAAAAAGAAAAAGACAAAUUCAAUUCUCUCUAUCAUCAUCAUGGUAAUCAUCGCCAUAAUCAACAUGAUCAAGUUAACGUGUUGUCACGCACAAAAAUCGACUCUCAACAACCAUCGUAACAAUCAAUGUACCCAAUCAAUAAAAUACAAAGACUUGUUCAUAAUCAGUGUAAUAUGGCAAUAUGGAUACAUCUUUUACACAAUAGCAAGAUGAGUAUUUAAUUAAAUUACUUGAUGACAUGAUGAAUACUGUGCAACACUAUUACUCAGUACUUUACUACUUUAAUACAUCCGCACCUUUAGUUAUAUAAAUAGUUAACAUUAAUAACAAAAUAAUUUAGCUCAGUUUUUUUACAUUGCAAAUGAAAAGUUGUAAUUAUUAGUGCGCUCAUCAUUCCUACUGAUUGAUGUUGAUUGUGGAUCACUAAUAUCAAAUAAAUUUGGGUGCUCCUUUAGCUGUCAUCAAUAAUGAUCAUCAAAAAAAUAUGUUAACCUCAACCAAACCCAUUUGAUUGACCCUCGGUCAAAAGGUUAAUACGGAAGGUACAAUUAACAAUGUAUUAAAACACUAAUGUCUACUUCUUUUGUAAUGAAAUGAAGGUUAAUUUUUGGUUAGAAAUAUAAUUUGCUAAUAGAAUUCUUGAAUCAAUCUUGACAGAGGAAAGGUUUUUGAAAUUGUUGAAAAAAUAUUUUCGCAUGAUGGAACCACAAUCAGUUUUCAUUGCACGUACUUACAGUUAGAUUAGUAUUUUUAUUUUUGAUGAAUAAUAAUCGUCAAAACUUUUACUUUUCCCUCCUUUUACUCAUUACUUUCAACUUCGUCAUCAUCAUUUAAUUGUGUUUUUUACACAAAAAAUAAACUUCGUUACGCGUCUUUUAAUUCACCAAUUAUCUUCUUCAUCUUCUUGCCUCUAAUUAUCAAGGCUCACAAUUGAUCGGCUCAAUGAUUACAACUUGACUUGAUCUUCGCCAUCGUCUUCGUCUUAUUAUCCAUUUCUACAUUUAACCUUGUCAUUGAGCCCAGGUCAAUAACAGCUCAAUUGGUCACAAUUCAAAGCUGAAAAGAUCCACCGACCUCCAACAAUGUCAGCGAUCAAAGGACAAUUUAUUAUUAACCAUGGAAAGCAAACAAAAGGAAACUUCAACAGAUACCUGUUGAUACAAUUAGCCAUUGAGAUAUUGCCAUUUCAAACUAAAGCAAUGAUAAAUGUCCACAAAUUUCGAUGAAAUAUCUAUUAAGAAUCACCAAAGAUGGACACAAUUCA